GACGAACGCUGGCGGCGUGCCUAAUACAUGCAAGUCGAGCGAAAAUUUUCUGGUUCUUGCGCUUGCACGACUUAGCGGCGAACGAGUGACAAACACGUAAAGUACCUGCCUCAUAGACUGGGCCAACUGUAGGAAACGCUAGCUAAUACCGGAUAACCGUAUUUCUUGCAUGGGGGAUGUUUAAAAGUUGGUUAUGGUAACAAUAUGAGAUGUCUUUGCGUUGCAUUAGCUAGUUGGUGGGGUAAAGGCCCACCAGGGCGCCGAUGCAAAGCCGACCCGAGAGGCGGAUAGCCCACCCUGGAACUGAGACACCCCCCAGACGCCUACGGGAGGCAGCAGUAGCGAAUCUUACGCAAUGGGGGAAAGCCUUGCGGAGCAGCCCCGCGUGAGUUAAGAAGGCGUUCGGUUCGUAAAGCUGGGUUUUUAGGGAAGAAUGGCUUUGGAGUAAGUAGACAUGUAAGAGACGGUACCUAGCCAAAAAGCCACGGCUAACUACGUG
rnacentral:rRNA from 1 species